rfam:Schistosoma rodhaini strain Burundi genome assembly, scaffold: SROB_scaffold0004557
AUCCAACUGAUGAGUCCCACAAAAGACCAAACACGCGUCAUGGAU